rnacentral:rRNA from 1 species
UACAGAGGUCUCAAGCGUUGUCCGGAAUUAUUGGGCGUAAAGAGCUCGUAGGCGGUCUGUCGCGUCGGCUGUGAAAACCCGGAGCUCAACUCCGGGCCUGCAGUCGAUACGGGCAGACUGGAGUUCGGCAGGGGAGACUGGAAUUCCUGGUGUAGCGGUGAAAUGCGCAGAUAUCAGGAGGAACACCGGUGGCGAAGGCGGGUCUCUGGGCCGAUACUGACGCUGAGGAGCGAAAGCGUGGGGAGCGAACAGG